rnacentral:lncRNA from 1 species
UCCGCUGGGGACAUCCUUCAGGACCCAAUCCACUCGGGGACUCAGCUUGGGGGAACAACCAAUACAACUUGCUGGGAACGAACCAAAGCGACUGCGCUGAGGAACCAACAAAGCAACUCGCUGGGGAGUAAUAAGGCGACUUGCUAGGGACAACCUGGUGACUUCACUGGGGAGAGCCAACCAAUCCACAAGUAGGAAAAACUCUGCUUUGGGAAAUAAAU